UGCAAGUCGAGCGGGGAAUUGUAGCUUGCUACAUGACCUAGCGGCGGACGGGUGAGUAAUACUUAGGAAUCUGCCUAUUAGUGGGGGACAACGUUCCGAAAGGAGCGCUAAUACCGCAUACGCCCUACGGGGGAAAGCAGGGGAUCUUCGGACCUUGCGCUAAUAGAUGAGCCUAAGUCGGAUUAGCUAGUUGGUAGGGUAAAGGCCUACCAAGGCGACGAUCUGUAGCGGGUUUGAGAGGAUGAUCCGCCACACUGGGACUGAGACACGGCCCAGACUCCUACGGGAGGCAGCAGUGGGGAAUAUUGGACAAUGGGCGCAAGCCUGAUCCAGCCAUGCCGCGUGUGUGAAGAAGGCCUUAUGGUUGUAAAGCACUUUAAGCGAGGAGGAGGCUUACCUGGUUAAUACCUAGGAUAAGUGGACGUUACUCGCAGAAUAAGCACCGGCUAACUCUGUGCCAGCAGCCGCGGUAAUACAGAGGGUGCAAGCGUUAAUCGGAAUUACUGGGCGUAAAGCGCGCGUAGGUGGCCAUUUAAGUCAAAUGUGAAAUCCCCGAGCUUAACUUGGGAAUUGCAUUCGAUACUGGGUGGCUAGAGUAUAGGAGAGGAAGGUAGAAUUCCAGGUGUA
rnacentral:rRNA from 1 species